GACGAACGCUGGCGGCGUGCUUAACACAUGCAAGUCGAACGGAAAGGCCCUGCUUUUGUGGGGUGCUCGAGUGGCGAACGGGUGAGUAACACGUGAGUAACCUGCCCUUGACUUUGGGAUAACUUCAGGAAACUGGGGCUAAUACCGGAUAGGAGCUCCUGCUGCAUGGUGGGGGUUGGAAAGUUUCGGCGGUUGGGGAUGGACUCGCGGCUUAUCAGCUUGUUGGUGGGGUAGUGGCUUACCAAGGCUUUGACGGGUAGCCGGCCUGAGAGGGUGACCGGCCACAUUGGGACUGAGAUACGGCCCAGACUCCUACGGGAGGCAGCAGUGGGGAAUAUUGCACAAUGGGCGGAAGCCUGAUGCAGCAACGCCGCGUGCGGGAUGACGGCCUUCGGGUUGUAAACCGCUUUCGCCUGUGACGAAGCGUGAGUGACGGUAAUGGGUAAAGAAGCACCGGCUAACUACGUGCCAGCAGCCGCGGUGAUACGUAGGGUGCGAGCGUUGUCCGGAUUUAUUGGGCGUAAAGGGCUCGUAGGUGGUUGAUCGCGUCGGAAGUGUAAUCUUGGGGCUUAACCCUGAGCGUGCUUUCGAUACGGGUUGACUUGAGGAAGGUAGGGGAGAAUGGAAUUCCUGGUGGAGCGGUGGAAUGCGCAGAUAUCAGGAGGAACACCAGUGGCGAAGGCGGUUCUCUGGGCCUUUCCUGACGCUGAGGAGCGAAAGCGUGGGGAGCGAACAGGCUUAGAUACCCUGGUAGUCCACGCUGUAAACGGUGGGUACUAGGUGUGGGGUCCAUUCCACGGGUUCCGUGCCGUAGCUAACGCUUUAAGUACCCCGCCUGGGGAGUACGGCCGCAAGGCUAAAACUCAAAGGAAUUGACGGGGCCCCGCACAAGCGGCGGAGCAUGCGGAUUAAUUCGAUGCAACGCGUAGAACCUUACCUGGGUUUGACAUGGAUCGGGAGCGCUCAGAGAUGGGUGUGCCUCUUUUGGGGUCGGUUCACAGGUGGUGCAUGGCUGUCGUCAGCCCGUGUCGUGAGAUGUUGGGUUAAGUCCCGCAACGAGCGCAACCCUUGUUCACUGUUGCCAGCACGUUAUGGUGGGGACUCAGUGGAGACCGCCGGGGUCAACUCGGAGGAAGGUGGGGAUGACGUCAAGUCAUCAUGCCCCUUACGUCCAGGGCUUCACGCAUGCUACAAUGGCUGGUACAGAGAGUGGCGAGCCUGUGAGGGUGAGCGAAUCUCGGAAAGCCGGUCUCAGUUCGGAUUGGGGUCUGCAACUCGACCUCAUGAAGUCGGAGUCGCUAGUAAUCGCAGAUCAGCAACGCUGCGGUGAAUACGUUCCCGGGGCU
rnacentral:rRNA from 1 species